GCCUCUCGCCGGAGGGAACCGCAGAGCGGCGAGGCGGGCGGGCGGGCGUGCGGGCCGCCCUGCGCGGCCGCCCUCCCUUCUUCCUCCUGGCCUGUCCUCUGAUUCUCUUGGGUAAAUGCGGUGGAAGAAAUGGCUUUUAGCAAAUGGAUCUCUUGCCCAGGCAAACCCUUUGGAUUCUGAAGGAAUGAAAAAAGACUUAACUCUCCAUUUUGGUUGUUCCUUGCUGAUUUCAUCCAUCUGGUUGGAACGUCUCACCUCCUGCUCCAGAGGAAAUCUUGCUGUUGCAGCUCAUGCCUUUCAACAUUUUCUUAGCUUCUUUUUGGCCGGCUUAAAAUUUCCACUCGUUCCUCAUUCAUGUAUGACCGUGGUUACCCUAUAACCUACCAAUGAUCCCGAAUUCCAGCAGUCUCUUUAGCGAUGAUGAAGAAAGGCCUACUGUUAUGAGUCUCCUGAUCGUUUUGUUUCCUAAAAUGACAUCUUUGAUUUCAGUCAUUGUAAAUUGGGUUUCUUGAUCUACUUAUGUGAAAUUUCAGACUGAUCUGACAAAAUCAAAUUAAAAGGCCCUGAACUGUUCACAUGGAUACUUCUAUAAUUAUUAAUGACCCAAGACCAGUCGUAAAAGCCAAGGACAAGAAAUGCACUGAAUGAAAAUAA